AUUGAACGCUGGCGGCAUGCCUAACACAUGCAAGUCGAACGGCAGCGGGUCGUAGCAAUACGAUGCCGGCGAGUGGCGGACGGGUGAGGAAUACAUAGGAAUCUACCUCAACGUGGGGGAUAACGUAGGGAAACUUACGCUAAUACCGCAUACGACCGAGAGGGGAAAGCGGCGGACCGCAAGGCGUCGCGCGGUGAGAUGAGCCUAUGUCCGAUUAGCUAGUUGGCGGGGUAAUGGCCCACCAAGGCGACGAUCGGUAGCUGGUCUGAGAGGAUGAUCAGCCACACUGGAACUGAGACACGGUCCAGACUCCUACGGGAGGCAGCAGUGGGGAAUAUUGGACAAUGGGCGCAAGCCUGAUCCAGCAAUGCCGCGUGGGUGAAGAAGGCCUUCGGGUUGUAAAGCCCUUUUGUACGGGAAGAAAUCCUGUCGGUUAAUACCCGGCGGGGAUGACGGUACCGUAAGAAUAAGCACCGGCUAACUUCGUGCCAGCCGCCGCAGUAAGAC
rnacentral:rRNA from 1 species